UACAGAGGUCCCAAGCGUUGUUCGGAUUCACUGGGCGUAAAGGGUGCGUAGGCGGCCGGGUAAGUCUGAUGUGAAAUCUCCGAGCCUAACUCGGAAACUGCAUCGGAUACUCUUCGGCUAGAGGAUUGGAAGGGAGACUGGAAUUCUCGGUGUAGCAGUGAAAUGCGUAGAUAUCGAGAGGAACACCAGUGGCGAAGGCGAGUCUCUGGACAAUUCCUGACGCUGAGGCACGAAAGCCAGGGGAGCAAACGGG
rnacentral:rRNA from 1 species